GUUCCCUUCAAGCACUUCACAUGAGGCACCAUUCAAACUCUGUUUAAGAUUAGGUGUAAUGUGAAGUGUUUGGGGGAACUC
rnacentral:pre_miRNA from 1 species